rnacentral:lncRNA from 1 species
AAGCAGGUGAGAAUUUCUCCCUCAAGGGUCGGAUGAGUUAUAAGCAUUUGAAAAGAGGAAAUUUAGGGUUAAUUUUCCAACUCGCCAUGACAAUGGGGACUACUGAAGAGGAGAAAAUCCUAUUACUGUAUGGGACAGUGGGCGAGAGGUAAAGAUUAGCCCUCAGCUAACUACUGCCAGUCCUCCUCUUUUUGCUGAGGAAGCCUGACUCUGAGCUAACAUCCGUGCCCAUCUUACUCUAGUUUAUACGUGGGACGCCUACCACAGCAUGGCUGCCAAGCAGUGCCAUGUCCGCACCUGGGAUCCGAACCAGCAAACCCCAGGCCGCCGAGAAGUGGAACGUGUGAACUUAACCGCUGCGCCACCGGGCCGGCGCCCUGAACUGACAAUUUUUAACGUAUUUUGGAUAACUAAAGUCAAUCAUCAGAGCUUUUCUUGGAGCAAGGUCAUUACUUAUUGAUUCUACUCCAUUGGAGACUUCAGAGAAGCAACUGAAUAAACAACGCAAAAGGGGAGACAAGAGAGAGAGACAUGUCUUCACUAUUUUGGAGAAGAAGAUUGAGGUGUGGCCAUAGCCAAAAGGAUCAGCCUCGGCAAGACUCUUCCUCAUGCAGCAUCCACUAAGGGACCCUGCUUCGCUAACAGAUCAUUCCUGGGAGAUGAUUCCUCCUUCUUCCUCGUUUCUUCUGGGUCCAGGAAAUGAAAACAAACACAGUAAACUACACACUUAAGGACAGAAGGAGAAAAUUCUUCACCUGUUGGCUCAUUUUAGCAAAAAUCAACUCCUUUGAUUCAAGAAUGUUUGAAGCCUGGGAUAAUUUUGAUUGAACCAGAGUUGAAGUCUAUUUCCACAUUCUCCUGCCUGACUUGCUGAAGUUCUGGUAGAUAUUUUGAAAACUGGAUGAAGAAACGAAUCAAUGAAACUGUGGCCCUAAGACAAAGGAUCUGAAAGAGCACAAGGACCUUCUCCUGACUUCCAAAAAUUAUUAGAGCUGCUUCUUUCUUAAAAUAGACCAUAUGCAUCAC